UAAAGCAAAAUGAAAAAAUACUUAUGUAUUCUUCGCUUUAAAAAUUCCAAACUAGUGGGAAUUAGUACGGAUAGAUAUUUGAAAUGCAGGUCACGAGACAUAUUUUAACAAAAAUACUGCACUAUCAUUUAAUGAGGAAAAAUGGAGGAAAAGAAUGAACAGAAUCAGCAUUUGAAAUUAUUCUUCAAAACGCCCGCAAAACGUUCAAUGGCAACAUUAAAUUCUUCUAAUUCAGCGUGAGCAAAUGUCACACGGAAGAAAAUCUUAUCGUUGACUCUAGGGUCAACAACGAACCAGUUACCGCAAGCAAGGUUAACGCCUUCUUCAACAGCUUCAGCAUGGAUUUUAGAUUCGAUUUCGGGAAUAGAUUCAUUUUUAUCGGCAUGGAUGUAGCGCGAUUUGUCAACUUCGAACCAAAUAAACAUACCAGCGACAGGAGGGAUAUAAGAGCAGACCGAUUUUGGUAAGUAUGUGUCCAUGGCAUAAAGAAGAUAAUUACGGCGAAGCGUAUAAGAAUACCGAAUAUGCUUCAACCACUCUAGGUAUCCGUCUUGACCCCAAUGCUUGAACAUGGCAUACAGGAUGCCUUGGGAAAUACCAGAAGCACUUUGAGUUGCAGUUUCAGCAGCACGCAAACCACGUUCAAUGAACAACGGUUGAGCAGUGAACCAACCUACACGAGAACCAGGGGCUACAACCUUUGACAGAGAAUCCAUACGGAUGACACGACCGUCGACAUCCAUACUUAAGAAUGAAGGAAUAAGUUCUUUUACAAAUUGCUCGUUGGUAAAAGCUUUAUCAGCAGCUUCUGGUUUUCCUUCAUAAGCGUCCAUUUGUAAGUAAUAGUAAGG